GACGACAUUUUUGUUGCUUGUUAGAGAAAAGUUUCUAUCCGAAAGAAUCGGCUUUAUUUCAAAAUUUUGGUCAUUAAAUUAAACUGAAUUACAUCUAAAAGGAUCAUUUAAUACUCGAUCCUCAAAAUCUAAUUCGAAAAAUUUAUAUUUGAGACAGAAUUACGUCUCAUUCUAUCGGAAUCAAAAACUAUUGAAUUCGACUUAGUUAUUUAUUACUACAAUAUUCAUAAUAUAAAUUCAAAAUCGACAUUGUUGUUUAUCAGGAAUGAUAAUGAAGCAAAAUUAUUAAAAAUUGGUCGAAAAUUUAUACCUUUUAAAGGUAAAAUACGCCGUAAAUUCAGAUUGCAUUUUGUGAGGGAUAUAAUAACAAGAUGGCGGAUGCUGUGUAGGAAGACAAUCGGAUUCGUAAUAUGCCGAGUUCUGAGGAACACCGAUGCCGUAAACGUACGCAUGAUAAAUCGCCUGACAGAAAUCCAUCAACUUCUGGUCACGGAAAAUCCAAACGGCCACGAAAUGAAAGUAGCCACAGGAAGAUGAAAAAAUCUGGUCAUAAACCACAUAAGAAAAAGCAUUCCAAAGAACCCGAAAGACCCAUUACUUCUCUCAAGCCCCUAGUGGAAUAUGACGAUGUCAGUUCAGAUUCUUCUCUUUUCUCAGACAAUCCAGAGUUGUCGCCGGUUCACCACAAGACCAAACUGUCACCAGAUAGGAGUCUAGAUAUGGAGAGAGAGAGAAGACGGAGGAGUAAACAGCACGACCAUCCUCGUUCACCUAGUAUGUCUCGAUCACGCCAUUCUAUGUAUAUACCUGGAGAAAUGGAAAGAACUAGACUUUCCUCACCUGAUAGGAAAGAAAGAGAUAGGAGAAGAGAGAAAAAUUUAAGAGAUGUGCCACCUGCUCAUUUUCAUAGAAGAGAGAAGGAUUAUCAGAGAAACUUUAUGCCUUCUUAUCGUGAAACUAAUUUUGAACCAAUUCCACAUUCCUACAUGGAUUUAGAUUAUUAUGAACGAUUUGAUCGCAGAGGAGAUAGGGAUAGUGACUGUGAUCGAUCUUAUAGGAGGAGAUCUCGAACUCCUGAAGCGCCACGUGCUUAUCGUAAUAGAUCUCCUUCUCCUCCUAGUCCUCAGUUUCAUAUGUCAAAAUAUAGACGUUCCCCAGAUAUGUGGGAUAGAUCUCGGAAUUUUUCAAGUCCCAGUCCUCCAUAUUACAGGAAGAUGUCUUGGUCUAAAAGUCGUAGCAGAAGUCGAAGUCCAGUAAGGCAACAUAGGAAUAGAACAAAAAGAAAGCGAAGAUCUAGAAGCAGAUCUCGAAGUCCUGUAGUUAGGUCUAGGUCAAGAAGAUCAAGAAGUAAAUCUCGUUCACGUUCUCCUUACUCUGUUUCCAGGAGAAGAAAGAGAAGUUCUAGUAUUGAUUCAAAAUUUGCUGUCAGUUUAGUAGCUGAAUUACUUAGCAAUCGGAAAAAAGCCAAAAAACCUUCGAGGCCACUUGUAGCAAAUGAACAAAAAGAGGAGACUGAAAAAGAAAAUGGUGGUAUUGCACCUGAAAGUUCAAAAUCAUCUCCACUUCCAUCCUCAACAGAAACAACUCAGUCCACCUCCGCAGCAGCUGAUGUGAAGAGUGUUGACACACCUAAAGAAACUGAACUAGUAAAAGAACCACCUAAAGAAGAAGCAAAACCACCAUUACCACCACCUCCAGUUGAAAAACCACCUCUUCCUCCUCUUCCUACAUUACCUCCAUUACCAUUACCACCAGGUGUUCAGCCAGAAGAUAUAUUAGAUGACAUUGAUUCUCCUGCUCCAGAAGAAUCUUCCACGCCUCCAAGGAAAGGAAUAAAGGAACUCCCUAUGCCACCUGGAAUGAAACCUGAAGAUAUUAUGUCCCCUGAACCAGAGCAAGACAGAUCCCCAUACGGACAGUCUUCGCCUUCCACUGUUCUUCGACCAGUUGUUGUCAAUAAAAUGUACAAUGAGUUUAAUCGAUCUCCAAAUUGGGGUGAACGCUGUGUUGAUGUAUUUGAUAUCAUAUGUCAAAUUGGAGAAGGUACAUAUGGACAAGUUUACAAAGCAAAAGAUUGCGAUACUGGUGAACUAGUAGCUCUGAAGAAAGUGAGAUUAGAAAAUGAAAAAGAAGGUUUUCCAAUAACAGCAGUUAGAGAAAUAAAAAUACUCAGACAGCUUAAUCAUCCAAGUAUAGUAAAUUUAAAAGAAAUAGUUACAGAUAAACAAGAUGCUUUGGAUUUUAAGAAGGAUAAAGGUGCAUUUUAUUUAGUGUUCGAAUAUAUGGAUCAUGAUUUAAUGGGGCUUCUGGAGUCAGGAUUGGUAGACUUUACAAAAGAACAUAUUGCAUCAUUUAUGAAACAGUUACUAGAUGGUUUAAAUUAUUGUCAUCAAAAGAAUUUUCUUCAUCGUGAUAUUAAAUGUUCCAAUAUACUUAUGAAUAAUAGGGGUCAGAUUAAGUUGGCUGAUUUUGGUUUGGCCCGGUUAUAUAGUGCUGAUGAUAAAAUGAGACCAUAUACAAAUAAAGUUAUUACACUAUGGUAUCGUCCACCUGAAUUACUUUUAGGUGAGGAGAGGUAUGGACCAGCCAUAGAUGUCUGGAGUUGUGGGUGCAUUCUUGGCGAAUUAUUCACAAAGAAACCAAUAUUCCAGGCAAACCAAGAAAUGGCCCAGCUGGAAAGGAUUAGUUAUAUUUGUGGUACUCCGUGUCCUGCUGUAUGGCCUAAAGUAAUACAUUUACCACAUUGGCAUACUUUCAAACCUAAAAAGCCAUACAGAAGAAAGAUAAGAGAUGAAUUCUCUUUAAUGCCACCACCUGCCUUAGAUUUAUUAGACCAAAUGUUAGAAUUGGAUCCAGAAAAAAGAAUUACUGCUGAGAGUGCCUUGAAAUGUCCUUGGUUAAAAGAUAUUCAUCCAGAAUGUAUGGAACCUCCAGAUUUGCCACAUUGGCAAGAUUGUCAUGAAAUGUGGUCAAAGAGAAGACGACGACAAAUGAGGUUGGAGCAAGAAGCUAUAGCUGCUGGAAUAAAUCCAAAUAUGAUGGCAAAUCAACCAUCUGACAUGUCUUCUGGGCCCAUAAGUAAUAAUCUUUCACAACCAAAUCAGCCAGUGAAUCGACGUAAUCGUGGACCUGCAAGUGAAAGUUGGUCUGGAGGAACCGAUAGUACAGUAGAAAAUGAAAAAGUAUCAAACUAUGGUGAUGUCAGAGAACCAACAACAGGAAAGGAGGAAUUGAAAAAAUCCACUGGUCAAGAUGUAAAUACUGAAGGUUGUAGUCAAUCAUCACAAAUUCAGUUUGAUGAUAAUCUUAAGGCUGUUAUAAAUACUUUCCAAAAGCAACAAGGUCUAAAUAUUGGACAACUUGCUAGUCUUCUUAAUGUAAAGGUUGAUUCAAAUACAACACAGUUGUUAGAAACAUUAAAUAUACGCUGGCUGUUAGAAGCAGCAACUAAACAACCUCAGGAAAUGACUCAGAGAGGAAAUCAGAGGUUAGGUUUUGAAUCAUCACAGUCUUCAAGUAGUCUGGGAGAUCAGUCAACAAGUGGAAAACAAGAUAAAUUAGGAUGUAAAGAUAUUUGUGAUGAAAAAAAAGAUGGAAUAGCACCAUCACAUUCAGGGCGAUUUGGAAUCCCUAGGGAAGAUAGGCAAUCUCUUGGAGAACAGUGUUUUAAUCCUGGAUAUAGAAAUGAUCAUCCCAAAGGGUUUGUAGAUAAAGGAAGCUUACAAACAACUUCAAACAUCAGUGGACAACCUGUAUCUAAUGACAGAUAUAGUGACAAUAUACAAGGCACUAAUUUUUCUUUAUCUGAUGUGAAAGCGGCAUUGGCUGAACUACUAGCUGUCCAAGGAAACCAGGUAGUUAUACCUGCGACAAAUCCAGAUACAAUAACAACAGAGGAAAAUUGAUAUGAAAGUAGAAGAUGCAAAAAUAGUAAUUUUGGAACAGAAGAAAGAACUAGAAACAACUUGAAUUCUGAUGAUGAUCUACAUUUAUAUACUUAUUGAUUGUGAAAAAAAUAAAAUAACUGUAAUGCAAUGUGCAAUGUUUUCAUUCCAAAUAUUAAAUAUUGAUUGUAAAAUAUUACAAUGCUGUAUGAAGUAGAUAAGGUAAUUAGAUAUUUGGUUUGAGUUGAUUGCACAGCUGUGUCAGUAGUAUAUUUUUCAAGUACAGAUACCCCACAUUACAUUACUUAUCUUUUAUGAAAGCUCUUUAUUAUUACUUGUUUUUGCUAACAGAAAAAUCUGAAGAGGAGUUUUACUUUUAUGAAAAAAGAUGAAAAACAAAACUAGCAUUUAGAGUCAUUGUAUACUUUGAACAGCAAGAGCAGCUUCUAAACUUUUUCACUGGAAGCUACACAUAGCAUCAAGCUGCCACAACUUUGAACUAUGUCUGUUAGCAUCUAUGCUUUUUAUGUCAAUUUAUUUGCACAUCCAUUAGUAAAAAUGCAGCAAGGAAAUGUUAAGUCCAUUGCUUGAGUUGAAUGUUGGGUGUACUAAGAUGGUGUUACAUCUUAAUGUAAGAAGAAAUCAGUUAGUCUUUUUGAUAAGCAGAGACAGAAUGGACGAUGGCAAUGAAAGUAUUGCAAAAGUGGAAUUUAAAGUUAGCCCCGUGUGGUUGGUUGGUUUUUUCAAACAAGGGCAGUUUUGUACUGCUGGUGAAGUUUCAUUAACUAUACUGUACUUACGUUUCUACUUUUUAUAUGUUGUGUACUUACCCUAUCAUUCCUAUUUUUAUUACAUAUUAUUAUUAUUUUAUGUUUUAUGGGUUUAAUAAGUUAAUUUUGAGUCAAGUAAUGGUAAAAAAUUUUCCAGUAUAAAUUAAUGGUAAUUGCUUCUUUGCUUUAUGCCAUUUCAGCUUAGAAAAGGUUUCAUGGAAAACUCUGCUUUUGGAUAGUUGGGACCUUGUAUCUGGGGUUUUUUUAGUUGUUAAAGAAAAUAUAAAAAACGAGUCAAGAUCAUUAAAACAAUAAAGAAAUAGAAGUCAAGUUUAAGAGAGAAUUUUAGAAGUGAUUAUUACAUUGAAGGAAGACAACUGAUAAGUCACUGAUCUACAGAAGUAUAGAAUAUAAAUCUCAAGAGUUUAGUGAAUGAAAAUGAAAAAUGGAUGAAUUUAAUUGGGUAUUUCAGAUCAUUUAGUAAUGCUGCAAAUAAUUUAAUUAAGAUUUUCAAAUGGUAAAUGAAAUUUUUAAAAGCACAAUGACUGAAAGGAGAAUUCAGUUUUUAGUAUAUUAACUAACUUUGACUAUGAGCUUAUUUACAGAUAGACAUGAGGUGAGAUUGAUACUUGUUAUCAAAGGAAAAAUAAAUAAAAUAAUAUUGAAUAUUGAAAUAAAUGUUCUCUAAAAGGAAGAUUUCAAAAUACUUAAGAAUGUGAAUUAUUAUUUUUUCCUCUAAUGAUGAUUAAUUUAUUGUGAAAAUACACUUGUUUUUCUUAAAAUAAUAUUCAAGUUCACAACUGAAAUAAUAUUGCUUAAUGCACAAUUUUUAUUAUUUUGAGCAUGUAGAGAACUGUUUAAUGUUUAACAAUGAUGAAUUCUUUUCUCUUGGAUUUUUAACAUAAGACUUGGCAAACCAAGUCGGAGCUGGAUAAAUUGGUUAUGUAUGAUAUUUUCUGAGUUACACUUGUAUAUCUGUUCAGUAAUUCAUUAAGUUUCGCGUGACAGCAUUUCAUUUCAGCUUUUGCAGAAGUAAAUGAAUGCCCUUAAGUUUUUUGAGUAAAAUAUUUCUUACCUAAAUUAUCUUAAGUGGAAAUAUAUUGGAAGCAACAAAUUUAACUAAAAAUAUGUAUAAUAAAUUCAUUUUGGUUGUUGCUUUAAUUCUCCAUAAUAUUAAACUACCCAUAAUUCGGAAAACUAAAAAUGAGGGGAAAAAUCAAGAAAUGUGAUGGGUUCAAGAAUUUUGUCUUAUUAUAGUUUUGCAAUUGAAAUCUUUGUCAUACGUUUAAGCAGUUUACUAGGGUACGUAGUCUUCUUGGAAGAUAAAUGAAGAACUUAAAAUUUUACGAGUGGUUAAUAUGUAAAUAAUAAUUUGGAUUAUAAGUAAACAUUUUAAAGGUAAGUCAAUGUUAAAAAUUCUGUGUAUAUUUGCCUAUGUAUAAUUUUUAAUCUCGAUCAUUCCUUAUGACCGUAGGAGAAAAAAAAUUUUUGGAAUUUUAUAUUGAACCUUUGCAUUACUACCAUUACUUAUAUAUCUAAAUGCUUGCGAAAGAUUGCAUGUUUGUCGUCUUGUUAAGAUUUUUGCCAAGUAACAUUAAAAAAAAAUUCAAAAAGUAAACUAUGACGUUAUCCAUUUUCAAUUCUCUCCUUAGGUUCAUGCAGAGGAAUGUUACUUAAUUAAAAAUUACACUAGUGUAUAUGUGUAAAGAGACUUUUGACUGGUCUAAAAUAGUUUUGAACUUGUAACGAAAUUUUUCAACUGGAAAGAUGAAAUAUUUCAUAUACAAAAUUUUUUGACUGGGUGAAGAUGAGAAACAAUGAAAGUUAAUCAUCACAAGUCCGUGAUCUUUCCGUUUAUGAUUGUUCAAAGAGAAAGAAACUUUAAAAGGCGGUAUUUUCUUGUAAUCGAAAAAUUUCGUUAUUAGUAAUAAUUACCUUUAAUUGAAUUAGAGAAAAUUAUUACACGUAUCGAUGUGAGGUGUGUGUAUUUAUAUGAUGGUAUGAAAACGGGUAUAUCUGUUUAAUUGUAAUUAUCUAUUUUUCACGUACGUAAUUUAUUUCAAGUAGUUACUCAAAAAGUUUUGAUAACAGUAAGAGAUAUAGUAAUAUUACUAAGAAAAUACUUAAAUUUCUUGUUAUGUUUGUCACAACAUUGCUAAAUGUAUUUUUUUUUUAAUGGAAAUGACUUCACAAGAAUUUUUAGUAAGUUUCUUCGUGUUUUCAGUCAUCAAUAAUCAAUUUGAACCGUCGAGAAAAUCGAGUUAGUUCAUUAAUUAGAAAGUUAUAAAGUAUCUGUUAAAACAGUAGCAUUGUACCGUUGAAGGUGCAUAUCUGAUAUUGAAUAUAAAAAAUAUUUUAUUAUUAGCGAUGUCAACAUGCAAGACGUGUCUGGAAACUUAAAAUAAUUAAAAAAUCGUGUUUAUGCUGGUUCGUUUUAAAAAAUAUUGCCGUUUAUUGCAUUAAAAAUUCACUUUUGGAUAAAUUAUCGUUGAUAAAAACAGUAUGGCUAUUAUAAAAAUUAAUUUUGUUAACAAUACAUUUUUAUUGUUUUCUGUUUUAUUGUCCGUUUUGUGUAUUAAUUGAUGCACUAAAAGUUACGACACGUAAAAAAGUUGUUUCAUUAUCAAUGAAAUCAGUCGAGCUAUGAUGAUACUGAAUUCAGUAUUAAACUUCUUGAGUAACGCAAAACUGAAAAUGCAGAACGGUAUCUCUCAAUAUCGAAUUAGGGGGGAAAAUUCAAAGUACACAAAUAAGGAAAACGAAGACACGUAAUUUUUGUAAUGAAUGUGGUUGAACGGGCGUUAAAGAAAAGUGAUGAGUCUUGCAUAUAGUACAGAUGGAUCUUCAAGCAUAGAAGAGUUAGCAUAAUUGCUAAUGUUGUCGCUUCCGCCGGGAUUGCAGUUGGAACUACGACGGGAGUCACGGAAAUUAUGCUAGGGGGAAAAAUAAAUAAAUAUAAAUGGAAAGUUUUAAAUUGUGCAACUAGACGGAAAUUGAAAUUCUCAAUAGACAACAAAAUAAAGAUUCAGGUGAGCAACAAGAUCUAUGGUCACUUGAUGUUUGAUUAUUAAUCAGUGUUAUGUCGUCGAUAAAAAGAAUUUAUAAUAAUUUGGCCGUUAAUUCCCUCUGUACAUAUGAAAAUAUCUCGUGAGUGAAUGACUUUUGUUAUUUGAUUGAAUGCAAUCUUAUUUUGAUUUUUUUUUUAUUAGUAAUAAUAUACAACAAGUUCUUUGUAUAUCUGUUUUGUUUACAUAAAAUUAGAAUUGGAAAAUUUAUUUUCGUAAGGUGUAUCCAUACAGUCUGCAAAAUGUUAAGUUAUAAAGAAGUGUGCCUCGACUAAUAAUUUUUGCUCCAUAAAACUCUCUAAAUUGAGAGUAUGAAUCUGUUAAAAAUAAAAAAUUGUGGGUAAACAUUUUUGUGUGUAUAUAAUGCUUGUAAUUUUUUUAAAAUAUUUACUUAAAUUUAGAUAAUUAAUAGGCAAUGUUUCUAAUCUGCAAUGUUCCAUCACAAAAAUCAGUAAAAGUUUAAUGUUAUAUUUUGGGAGAGUCUGUGAUUUAAAUUAUUUGUACUCAAGUAAGAUGGCAGUUGUCUCAACAUCCAGAAGCCACGGCAACGGUCUUUCCAUCAUCCCAGAAUCAGCAAGAAGUGAUUUGGUCAAUAAUUUAUCUACUUCCAGUCAAUGAAAAAGUUUGAUGUGUAAUAAUUACUAUUGAUGAAAAAGUAGACAGUCAGACGUGUACAUGUGGAAUGGAAUAAAAUUGUCAAGAAAC